CAGGGAAUCUUGCGCAAUGGACGGGAGUCCGACGCAGCGACGCCGCGUGGGUGAAGACGGCCUUCGGGUUGUAAAGCCCUUUUCUGGGGGAAGAGAGAGGACGGUACUCCAGGAAUAAGUGUCGGCUAACUACGUGCCAGCAGCCGCGGUAAUACGUAGGACACGAGCGUUAUCCGGAUUUACUGGGCGUAAAGCGCCUGGAGGCGGUUCUUCAAGUCGUUUGUGAAAGCCCUGGGCUCAACCUGGGGAGGUCAAGCGAUACUGGAGGACUUGAGGGUGACAGAGGGGAGUGGAAUUUCCGGUGUAGCGGUAAAAUGCGCAGAUAUCGGGAGGAACACCAGUGGCGAAGGCGGCUCCCUGGGUC
rnacentral:rRNA from 1 species